AGUUUUGCACAGUGGCAGUAUUGUAGCCAAUGAGGUUUAUAUGAGCCACAAUUAUUGCUAAUUGAAAACUUUUCCCAAUACUUAGCAUGACGACUUGAAAUGUAGUUGGCAUUGGCAAUUUUUGACAGUCUCUACAGAAA